rfam:Homo sapiens chromosome 15 genomic contig, GRCh38 reference assembly alternate locus group ALT_REF_LOCI_1.
GCCGGGCAUGGUGGCGCAUGCCUGUAAUCCCAGCUACUUGGGAGGCUGAGGCAGGAGAAUCGCUUGAACCUGGGAGGCAGAGGUUGCAGUGAGCUGAGAUCGUGCCACUGCACUCAAGCCUGGGUGACAGAGCGAAACUCCGUCUCAA